rnacentral:rRNA from 1 species
CUUGGUCAUUUAGAGGAAGUAAAAGUCGUAACAAGGUUUUACCUAUUGAAGCCUGACACGGCGACUUGAAAAAGAAUCGUGGAGUCUGUCGUCAGAUAGGCGAUGCCAUAAAAGUGCUGGGAAUCUCAACAGACUGCCAGCAGCCACUGACCCCUCCAAGAUGGGGGCGUGGUUCACAGAUCAAGUGACGGCAGCCAACCGCUCCCUGGGAUGUCUAGGGAAAAUGGUUGGUGAAGAUAUGAUCGGUCCACGGCUGUAUAAAGCCCCUGGAGACACGUUCCGUAGGUGAACCUGCGGAAGGAUCAUU